CAGGUUACCCGCGACAAGACGGAAAGACCCCAUGGAGCUUUACUGCAGCUUGAUAUUGGAUUUGGGUACGAUCUGUACAGGAUAGGUGGGAGCCUGAGAAACAGGAGCGCAAGCUUCUGUGGAGGCGCCGUUGGGAUACCACCCUGAUCGUAUCUAGGUUCUAACCUGGUACCGUAAUCCGGUGCGGGGACAGUGUCAGGCGGGCAGUUUGACUGGGGCGGUCGCCUCCUAAAGAGUAACGGAGGCGCCCCAAGGUUCCCUCAGAAUGGUUGGAAAUCAUUCGAAGAGUGCAAAGGCAUAAGGGAGCUUGACUGCGAGACCUACAAGUCGAGCAGGGACGAAAGUCGGGCUUAGUGAUCCGGUGGUACCGCAUGGAAGGGCCAUCGCUCAACGGAUAAAAGCUACCCUGGGGAUAACAGGCUUAUCUCCCCCAAGAGUCCACAUCGACGGGGAGGUUUGGCACCUCGAUGUCGGCUCAUCGCAUCCUGGGGCUGAAGUAGGUCCCAAGGGUUGGGCUGUUCGCCCAUUAAAGCGGUACGCGAGCUGGGUUCAGAACGUCGUGAGACAGUUCGGUCCCUAUCUGUCGUGGGCGUAGGAAAUUUGAGAGGAGCUGUCCUUAGUACGAGAGGACCGGGAUGGACGUACCGCUGGUGCACCAGUUGUUCCGCCAGGAGCACGGCUGGGUAGCUAAGUACGGAAGGGAUAAGCGCUGAAAGCAUCUAAGCGUGAAGCCCCCCUCAAGAUGAGAUUUCCCAAUUCGUAAGACCCCUUGAAGACGACGAGGUAGAUAGGUUGGAGGUGGAAGUGCAGCAAUGCAUGGAGCUGACCAAUACUAAUCGGUCGAGGGCUUAUCCUAAA
rnacentral:rRNA from 1 species